rnacentral:rRNA from 1 species
UACGUAGGGGGCAAGCGUUGUCCGGAAUCAUUGGGCGUAAAGAGCGUGUAGGCGGCUUGGUAAGUCCGCUGUGAAAGUCCAGGGCUCAACCCUGGAAAGCCGGUGGAAACUGUCAAGCUUGAGUCCGGAAGAGGCGAGUGGAAUUCCUGGUGUAGCGGUGAAAUGCGCAGAUAUCGGAAGGAACACCUAUGGCGAAAGCGGCUCGCUGGAACAUUACUGACGCUGAUGCACGAAAGCUAGGGGAGCAAACAGG